UCUCCGUAGGUGAGCCUGCGGAGGGAUCAUUACAGAGUUCUCGCCCUCGCGGGUAGAUCUCCCACCCACUGUUAUCGUUACUGUGUUGCUUUGGCGGGCCGCCGGGCCCCGCUCGGCCGCCGGCUCCGGCUGGCGCGCGCCCGCCAGAGGCCCAGCAAACUCUGAAUGUUAGUGUCGUCUGAGUACUAUAUAAUAGUUAAAACUUUCAACAACGGAUCUCUUGGUUCUGGCAUCGAUGAAGGACGCAGC
rnacentral:misc_RNA from 1 species